rnacentral:rRNA from 1 species
GACGAACGCUGGCGGCGUGCUUAACACAUGCAAGUCGAACGGAAAGGCCCUGCUUUUGUGGGGUGCUCGAGUGGCGAACGGGUGAGUAACACGUGAGUAACCUGCCCUUGACUUUGGGAUAACUUCAGGAAACUGGGGCUAAUACCUGAUAGGAGCUCCUGCUGCAUGGUGGGGGUUGGAAAGUUUCGGCGGUUGGGGAUGGACUCGCGGCUUAUCAGCUUGUUGGUGGGGUAGUGGCUUACCAAGGCUUUGACGGGUAGCCGGCCUGAGAGGGUGACCGGCCACAUUGGGACUGAGAUACGGCCAAGACUCCUACGGGAGGCAGCAGUGGGGAAUAUUGCACAAUGGGCGGAAGCCUGAUGCAGCAACGCCGCGUGCGGGAUGACGGCCUUCGGGUUGUAAACCGCUUUCGCAUGUGACGAAGCGUGAGUGACGGUAAUGGGUAAAGAAGCACCGGCUAACUACGUG